rnacentral:rRNA from 1 species
GACGAACGCUGGCGGCGUGCUUAACACAUGCCAGUCGAACGCUGAAGCUCAGCUUUUGUUGGGUGGAUGAGUGGCGAACGGGUGAGUAACACGUGAGUAACCUGCCCUCUUCUUUGGGAUAACGCCCGGAAACGGGUGCUAAUACUGGAUAUUCACUGAUCUUCGCAUGGGGGUUGGUGGAAAGGUUUGUUCUGGUGGGGGAUGGGCUCGCGGCCUAUCAGCUUGUUGGUGGGGUGAUGGCCUACCAAGGCUUUGACGGGUAGCCGGCCUGAGAGGGUGACCGGUCACAUUGGGACUGAGAUACGGCCCAGACUCCUACGGGAGGCAGCAGUGGGGAAUAUUGCACAAUGGGCGAAAGCCUGAUGCAGCGACGCCGCGUGAGGGAUGGAGGCCUUCGGGUUGUAAACCUCUUUCGCUCAUGGUCAAGCCGCGACGUGGGUUGUGGUGAGGGUAGUGGGUAAAGAAGCGCCGGCUAACUACGUG